rnacentral:rRNA from 1 species
AGAGUUUGAUGGUGGCUCAGGAUGAACGCUAGCGGCAGGCCUAACACAUGCAAGUCGAGGGGCAUCACGAGGUAGCAAUACUUUGGUGGCGACCGGCGCACGGGUGCGUAACGCGUAUGUAACCUACCUAUAACAGGGGCAUAACACUGAGAAAUUGGUACUAAUUCCCCAUAAUAUUCGGAGAGGCAUCUCUCCGGGUUGAAAACUCCGGUGGUUAUAGAUGGACAUGCGUUGUAUUAGCUAGUUGGUGAGGUAACGGCUCACCAAGGCAACGAUACAUAGGGGGACUGAGAGGUUAACCCCCCACACUGGUACUGAGACACGGACCAGACUCCUACGGGAGGCAGCAGUGAGGAAUAUUGGACAAUGGACGCAAGUCUGAACCAGCCAUGCCGCGUGCAGGAAGACGGCUCUAUGAGUUGUAAACUGCUUUUGUACGAGGGUAAACUCACCUACGUGUAGGUGACUGAAAGUAUCGUACGAAUAAGGAUCGGCUAACUCCGUGCCAGCAGCCGCGGUAAUACGGAGGAUUCAAGCGUUAUCCGGAUUUAUUGGGUUUAAAGGGUGCGUAGGCGGUUUGAUAAGUUAGAGGUGAAAUCCCGGGGCUUAACUCCGGAACUGCCUCUAAUACUGUUAGACUAGAGAGUAGUUGCGGUAGGCGGAAUGUAUGGUGUAGCGGUGAAAUGCUAGAGAUCAUACAGAACACCGAUUGCGAAGGCAGCUUACCAAACUAUAUCUGACGUUGAGGCACGAAAGCGUGGGGAGCAAACAGGAUUAGAUACCCUGGUAGUCCACGCAGUAAACGAUGAUAACUCGUUGUCGGCGAUACACAGUCGGUGACUAAGCGAAAGCGAUAAGUUAUCCACCUGGGGAGACUUCGCAA